GAUUAACGCUGGCGGCGUGCAUAACACAUGCAAGUCGAACGAUGAAACUUAAAUGAUUUCUUCGGAAUGAACUUAAGUGGAUUAGUGGCGGACGGGUGAGUAACGCGUGAGUAACCUGCCUUACACAAGGGGAUAGCCGUUGGAAACGACGAAUAAUACCCUAUGAAACUAUCACUUCGCAUGAAGCGAUAGUCAAAGUGUUAGCGGUGUAAGAUGGACUUGCGUCUGAUUAGCUAGUUGGUGAGAAAAAAGCCCACCAAGGCAACGAUCAGUAGCCGGCUUGAGAGAGUGUACGGCCACAUUGGGACUGAGACACGGCCCAGACUCCUACGGGAGGCAGCAGUGGGGAAGUUUGCACAAUGGGGGAAACCCUGAUGCAGCGACGCCGCGUGAUUUAGAAGGCCUUCGGGUUGUAAAAAUCUUUUGUAUAGGAAGAAAAUGACAGUACUAGAAGAAUAAGGUCCGGCUAAUUACGUG
rnacentral:rRNA from 1 species